GGGGGCGCACUCCUAGCUCCUAGGUGGGUGACAGUGACCAGGUGUGUCCCACCCUCCUAGAAAAUAAUGGUGCUUCGGGCCAGGCUGCAUAAUACUCAAGGGCAGCCAUGACUCCAUCCUGACAGGCACAUGAUGUUUUCACAUUCUUGAAGAGUUGCUGGAACAGGAGCAACAUGUUUUAACCUGUUUGUCAGUCCAGGUACCUGAGAGAGUUUGGUUUCAUCGUCGAUACCCAUGCUUAUAUCUGCCAGCUUCUUAAAUUUUGGCCCUAAGGAAUCCAAG